rnacentral:rRNA from 1 species
CGGACGGGUGAGUAACACGUGGAUAACCUACCUAUAAGACUGGGAUAACUUCGGGAAACCGGAGCUAAUACCGGAUAAUAUAUUGAACCGCAUGGCUCAAUAGUGAAAGACGGUUUUGCUGUCACUUAUAGAUGGAUCCGCGCCGUAUUAGCUAGUUGGUAAGGUAACGGCUUACCAAGGCAACGAUGCGUAGCCGACCUGAGAGGGUGAUCGGCCACACUGGAACUGAGACACGGUCCAG